CACGUAGGGCGCGAGCGUUGUCCGGAAUUAUUGGGCGUAAAGAGCUCGUAGGCGGCCUGUUGCGUCCGCUGUGAAAGCCCGGGGCUUAACCCCGGGUCGGCAGUGGAUACGGGCAGGCUAGAGGUAGGUAGGGGAGAAUGGAAUUCCCGGUGUAGCGGUGAAAUGCGCAGAUAUCGGGAGGAACACCGGUGGCGAAGGCGGUUCUCUGGGCCUGUACUGACGCUGAGGAGCGAAAGCGUGGGGAGCGAACAGG
rnacentral:rRNA from 1 species